rnacentral:rRNA from 1 species
UGUCCUACGGGGGGCAGCAGUGAGGAAUAUUGGUCAAUGGGCGGGAGCCUGAACCAGCCAAGCCGCGUGAGGGAAGAAGGUACAGCGUAUCGUAAACCUCUUUUGUCAGGGAACAAAGGCGGGGACUAGUCCCCGGAUGAGGGUACCUGAAGAAAAAGCAUCGGCUAACUACGUGCCAGCAGCCGCGGUCAUACGUAGGAUCCGAGCAUUAUCCGGAGUGACUGGGUGUAAAGAGUUGCGUAGGUGGCAUAAUAAGUAGCUAGUGAAAUCUGGUGGCUCAACCAUUCAGACUAUUAGCUAAACUG